rnacentral:tRNA from 13 species
GUCCGCGUGGCCAAUGGAUAAGGCGUUUGACUUCCAAUCAGAAGAUUGCAGGUUCGAGUCCUGUCCGGACG